UGCCCCAUGGCUGAGUUGGUUACAGCGUCCGACUGUUAAACUUAAAUGGUUGUGAUAUCGGAAGGUCGUGAGUUCGAGCCUCACUGGGGCAG